rnacentral:lncRNA from 1 species
GCUUGCUCAAGCCCCUCUCACUCUGUGGAGUAUACUUUCACUUCAAUACACCUAUGCUUUCAUGUUCCAUUGCUUUGUUUUGUUCAAUCUUUGUUCACCAUGCCAAGAACCUGGACAACUUGUAGUGAAGACCUUCCACACCAGUAACAUAUUUUGGUGAGCCAGUCGGGAGUUGGCUAGAUUAGUUCCCCAGUCUGUCUUCUCGCCACUCUGGAUGUCCACAUGAGAGGACCCAAGCACGAAUGGUUAGAAAGAUGAACUUGGAACCUCAGACGAGAAUAUGAGAAACAUAAACAGAGACAUAUGACAACCUAAAAAAUGGAGUACAAUACCAAUAAGAAUAACGAUUAUCUUACCAAUAUAAGCUUCAGAAUCACCAAUGUACAUUUCGAUGCAAUGA